UGGCAGCGGUCCGGCAACCGGAUCGUCUUCCCGGGACGCCGCGACGAAACGAACGGUGUCGCCGGGCCGGAGCUGGCCGGUUUUCCAGAGCUCGUCGCGUGCCACCACGGCUGGACAAACGAAAAACGAUCAACUCCGUUCUCGAAAGAAAAUAUCUCGCGAUCGAACUGAACGACGUCAAGAACGGAUUGCUCCCUGAGGGGGCCAGCCAGGACUUGAUCGGCGCUCUUCAAGCAACA
rnacentral:misc_RNA from 1 species